GAUCCUGGCUCAGGAUGAACGCUGGCGGUAUGCUUAACACAUGCAAGUCGAACGAGGGUAGCAAUACCCUAGUGGCGGACGGGUGAGUAACGCGUAAGAAUCUACCUCUAGGUUCGGGAUAACAGAGGGAAACUUCUGCUAAUACCGGAUGUGCCGCAAGGUGAAAGAUUUAUCGCCUGGAGAUGAGCUUGCGUCAGAUUAGCUAGUUGGUGAGGUAAUGGCUCACCAAGGCGACGAUCUGUAGCUGGUCUGAGAGGACGAUCAGCCACACUGGAACUGAGACACGGUCCAGACUCCUACGGGAGGCAGCAGUGGGGAAUUUUCCGCAAUGGGCGAAAGCCUGACGGAGCAAUACCGCGUGAGGGAGGAAGGCUCUUGGGUCGUAAACCUCUUUUCUCAAGGAAGAUGAUGACGGUACUUGAGGAAUAAGCAUCGGCUAACUCCGUGCCAGCAGCCGCGGUAAUACGGAGGAUGCAAGCGUUAUCCGGAAUGAUUGGGCGUAAAGGGUCCGCAGGUGGAAUUUCAAGUCUGCUGUCAAAGCGUGAAGCUUAACUUCAUAAAGGCAGUGGAAACUGAGAAUCUAGAGUACGUUCGGGGCAGAGGGAAUUCCCAGUGUAGCGGUGAAAUGCGUAGAGAUUGGGAAGAACACCAGUGGCGAAAGCGCUCUGCUAGGCCUGUACUGACACUGAGGGACGAAAGCUAGGGGAGCGAAUGGGAUUAGAUACCCCAGUAGUCCUAGCCGUAAACGAUGGAUACUAGGCGUUGUCUGUAUCGACCCGGACAUUGCCGUAGCUAACGCGUUAAGUAUCCCGCCUGGGGAGUACGCACGCAAGUGUGAAACUCAAAGGAAUUGACGGGGGCCCGCACAAGCGGUGGAGUAUG
rnacentral:rRNA from 1 species